rnacentral:rRNA from 1 species
AGCUCCUACGGGACGCAGCAGUGGGGGAUAUUGCACAAUGGGGGGAACCCUGAUGCAGCGACGCCGCGUGGGUGAAGAAGCGCCCCGGCGCGUAAAGCCCUGUCAGCAGGGAAGAAAAUGACGGUACCUGAAGAAGAAGCCCCGGCUAACUACGUGCCAGCAGCCGCGGUAAUACGUAGGGGGCAAGCGUUAUCCGGAUUUACUGGGUGUAAAGGGGGCGCAGACGGCGAUGCAAGCCAGGAGUGAAAGCCCGGGGCCCAACCCCGGGACGGCUCUUGGAACUGCGUGGCUGG